rnacentral:rRNA from 1 species
AACGAACGCUGGCGGCAGGCCUAACACAUGCAAGUCGAGCGGACCCUUCGGGGUUAGCGGCGGACGGGGGGUUAACGCGGGGGAAUUGGCCCUUUUCUCGGGAAUAGUCCUGGGAACCGGGGGUUAAUACCGUAUAGGCCCUUUGGGGGAAAGAUUUAUCGGGGAAGGAUUAGCCCGCGUUGGAUUAGGUAGUUGGUGGGGUAAUGGCCUACCAAGCCGACGAUCCAUAGCUGGUUUGAGAGGAUGAUCAGCCACACUGGGACUGAGACACGGCCCAGACUCCUACGGGAGGCAGCAGUGGGGAAUCUUAGACAAUGGGGGCAACCCUGAUCUAGCCAUGCCGCGUGAGUGAUGAAGGCCUUAGGGUUGUAAAGCUCUUUCAGCUGGGAAGAUAAUGACGGUACCAGCAGAAGAAGCCCCGGCUAACUCCGUG